GAGUUUCAGAACUAUGAUAGUAUUAAAGAUGAUUAUCUCCACGUAUGCAGCAGAAUGAUGCCCAUCAAAACAACCAUGUGCUGUAUCUCUACCCAUGAUGCUAUGAAACUAAACGUUGAGAUAACAAGUAUUUCAUGUUUUGCCAUGAUCAUGGCGUCGUGUGGGAACAGUAAAUACGUUACUUAGAAAUGCCCAGAAAUGUUAUCUGAACUACCUAUCUAAGAUGUUUAUCUAAUCUUUAUGUCACAAUAAUGCACGUUUUAGCAAUGGCUGUUCCAUAUCUUCAGUUGUGGAUGUAAUCGUUGAUGACAACUCUACUUGAACGUUUAUUUAUCUUCCAUUAUUUCUUUGUUCAUUAUUAGUUCACAUUCCAUAAAUCAGUAUAUCAUUUGUUUAAACAGUGUAUAAUAAUGCAUGCUAUAUCCAUGUAAAUAAUUUAUAACAAACUCUAUUUAAUAGGGAACACAUGAUAUAAUAGUGGUUUAUAAAUAGUUAAUAAACAAACCUUCAAACAAACUUUUUCCAAAACGUAUCUAUCCAGGCUAAUUAUUAAGAGAACAAAAUUACUUGUACCAGGCCCAGGAAAACCUCUAGGCCCUAGUAACCCUAUAGCAAGAACUGACCAGGUAGCCAGGAAAACCUCUAGGCCCUAGUAACCCUAUAGCAAGAACUGACCAGGUAGCCAGGAAAACCUCUAGGCCCUAGUAACCCUAUAGCAAGAACUGACCAGGUAGCCAGGAAAACCUCUAGGCCCUAGUAACCCUAUAGCAAGAACUGACCAGGUAGCCAGGAAAACCUCUAGGCCCUAGUAACCCUAUAGCAAGAACUGACCAGGUAGCCAGGAAAACCUCUAGGCCCUAAUAACCCUAUAGCAAGAACUGACCAGGUAGCCAGGAAAACCUCUAGGCCCUAAUAACCCUAUAGCAAGAACUGACCAGGUAGCCAGGAAAACCUCUAGGCCCUAAUAACCCUAUAGCAGGAACUGACCAGGUAGCCAGGAAAACCUCUAGGCCCUAAUAACCCUAUAGCAGGAACUGACCAGGUAGCCAGGAAAGACUUUGGGCCUAGUUACAGUACAAGUGAUACAUUCCACUCUUGGCCCUCUCAGUAUCUCACCCAGCCAGGAUGUUGAUGAUUACAGUACAGCCCACCAUGAAGGGAACCAUGGGGCUGCUACUCUUGGCGUUGAC